AUUGAACGCUGGCGGCAUGCUUUACACAUGCAAGUCGAACGGUAACAGGCCUUCGGGUGCUGACGAGUGGCGAACGGGUGAGUAAUGCAUCGGAACGUGCCCAGAGGUGGGGGAUAACGCAGCGAAAGCUGUGCUAAUACCGCAUGUGAUCUGAGGAUGAAAGCGGGGGACCAGGCAGAAAUGUUUGGCCUCGCGCCUUUGGAGCGGCCGAUGCCAGAUUAGGUAGUUGGUGGGGUAAAGGCCUACCAAGCCGACGAUCUGUAGCUGGUCUGAGAGGACGACCAGCCACACUGGGACUGAGACACGGCCCAGACUCCUACGGGAGGCAGCAGUGGGGAAUUUUGGACAAUGGGCGCAAGCCUGAUCCAGCAAUGCCGCGUGCGGGAAGAAGGCCUUCGGGUUGUAAACCGCUUUUGUACGGAACGAAAAGGCUCUGGCUAAUACCUGGGGCUGAUGACGGUACCGUAAGAAUAAGCACCGGCUAACUACGUG
rnacentral:rRNA from 1 species